CACGUAGGCACCAAGCGUUGUCCGGAUUUAUUGGGCGUAAAGAGCUCGUAGGCGGUUUGGUAAGUCUGGUGUGAAAUCUCCACGCUCAACGUGGAGGGGCCACCCGAUACUGCCAUGGCUGGAGUCCGGUAGAGGAGUGUGGAAUUCCCGGUGUAGCGGUGAAAUGCGCAGAUAUCGGGAGGAACACCCGUAGCGAAGGCGGCACUCUGGGCCGGAACUGACGCUGAGGAGCGAAAGCGUGGGGAGCAAACAGG
rnacentral:rRNA from 1 species